UACGUAGGGAGCAAGCGUUGUCCGGAAUCAUUGGGCGUAAAGCGCGCGUAGGUGGUCCCGUAAGUCCGCUGUGAAAGUCAAAGGCUCAACCUUUGAAAGCCGGUGGAUACUGUGGGACUAGAGUACGGAAGAGGCGAGUGGAAUUCCUGGUGUAGCGGUGGAAUGCGCAGAUAUCAGGAGGAACACCAAUAGCGAAGGCAGCUCGCUGGGACGUUACUGACACUGAGGCGCGAAAGCGUGGGGAGCAAACAGG
rnacentral:rRNA from 1 species